rnacentral:rRNA from 1 species
CGGACGGGUUAGAACGCGUGGGAAUAUACCCUUCUCUACGGAAUAGCCUCGGGAAACUGAGAGUAAUACCGUAUACGCCCUUCGGGGGAAAGAUUUAUGGGAGAAGGAUUAGCCCGCGUUGGAUUAGGUAGUUGGUGGGGUAAUGGCCCACCAAGCCGACGAUCCAUAGCUGGUUUGAGAGGAUGAUCAGCAACACUGGGACUGAGACACGGCCCAGACUCCUACGGGAGGCAGCAGUGGGGAAUCUUAGACAAUGGGGGAAACCCUGAUCUAGCCAUGCCGCGUGAGUGACGAAGGCCCUAGGGCCGCAAAGCUCUUUCGCCAGGGAAGAUAAUGACGGUACCUGGUUAAGAAACCCCGGCUAACUCCGUGCCCGCAGCCGCGGUAAUACGGAGGGGGUUAGCGUUGUUCGGAAUUACUGGGCGUAAAUCGCACGUAGGCGGACUUUUAAGUUAGAGGUGAAAUCCCAGGGCUCAACCCUGGAACUGCCUUUAAUACUGGGAGUCUUGAGUUCGAGAGAGGUGAGUGGAAUUCCGAGUGUAGAGGUGAAAUUCGUAGAUAUUCGGAGGAACACCCAGUGGCGAAGGCGGCUCACUGGCUCGAUACUGACGCUGAGGUGCGAAAGCGUGGGGAGCAAAACAGGAUUA